rnacentral:rRNA from 1 species
UCAAGGUAUGAAGGGCGUACGGUGGAUGCCUUGGCACUAGGAGCCGAUGAAGGACGCGACGAACAGCGAUAUGCUUCGGGGAGCAGUAAGUAUGCUUUGAUCCGAAGAUUUCCGAAUGGGGGAACCCACCAUCUGUAAUGGGAUGGGACAUGUUACAUGAAUACAUAGUGUAGCGUGAGGCAGACCCGGGGAACUGAAACAUCUAAGUACCCGGAGGAAGAGAAAGCAAAUGCGAUUCCCUGAGUAGCGGCGAGCGAAACGGGAACAGCCCAAACCGAAGAGCAUGCUCUUCGGGGUUGUAGGACACUCUACACGGAGUCAAAAAGGAAGACAGUAGGUGAAGGACCUGGAAAGGUCGGCCGAAGAAGGUGACAGCCCUGUAGCUGAAACUGUUUUCCCUCCAGAGUGGAUCCUGAGUACGGCGGGACACGUGAAACCCCGUCGGAAUCCGGGAGGACCAUCUCCCAAGGCUAAAUACUCCCUAGUGACCGAUAGUGAACCAGUACCGUGAGGGAAAGGUGAAAAGCACCCCGGAAGGGGAGUGAAAUAGAUCCUGAAACCGUAUGCCUACAAGUAGUCAGAGCCCGUUAACGGGUGAUGGCGUGCCUUUUGUAGAAUGAACCGGCGAGUUACGAUAACGCGCGAGGUUAAGCCGAUGAGGCGGAGCCGUAGCGAAAGCGAGUCUGAACAGGGCGUUCAGUGCGUUGUCGUAGACCCGAAACCAGGUGAUCUACCCAUGUCCAGGAUGAAGGUCAGGUAACACUGACUGGAGGUCCGAACCCACGCACGUUGAAAAGUGCGGGGAUGAGGUGUGGGUAGCGGUGAAAUGCCAAUCGAACCUGGAGAUAGCUGGUUCUCCCCGAAAUAGCUUUAGGGCUAGCCUCGAGGUUGAGAGUUCUGGAGGUAGAGCACUGAUUGGACUAGGGCCCCCACAGGGUUACCGAAUUCAGUUAAACUCCGAAUGCCAGCAACUUAUACUCGGGAGUCAGACUGCGAGUGAUAAGAUCCGUAGUCAAGAGGGAAACAGCCCAGACCGCCAGCUAAGGUCCCAAAGUGUAUGUUAAGUGGAAAAGGAUGUGGCGCUGCCUAGACAGCUAGGAUGUUGGCUUAGAAGCAGCCACCAUUCAAAGAGUGCGUAAUAGCUCACUAGUCGAGUGGCGCCGCGCCGAAAAUGUAACGGGGCUAAACAUACCACCGAAGCUGCGGAUUCCGUAAGGAAUGGUAGGGGAGCGUUCCAAACCGCUGUGAAGCUGUACCGGAAGGAGCAGUGGAGCGUUUGGAAGUGAGAAUGCCGGUGUGAGUAGCGAAAAGAGGGGUGAGAAUCCCCUCCGUCGAAAGCCCAAGGUUUCCUGAGGAAGGCUCGUCCGCUCAGGGUUAGUCUGGACCUAAGCCGAGGCCGAAAGGCGUAGGCGAUGGAUAACAGGUUGAUAUUCCUGUACCGCCGAUCCACCGUUUGAACAAUGGGGGGACGCAGGAGGAUAGUGACGCAUGCGGAUGGAAGUGCAUGUGCAAGUUUCAAGACCGUCUGAUUGGCAAAUCCGUCAGGCACCAAAGUCAAGGAACGAUGCGGAGUCCCGUAGGGACGUAGGUCACGAUUUCACACUGCCAAGAAAAGCCUCUAGUGAGGGGGAAGGCGCCAGUACCGUAAACCGACACAGGUAGGCGAGAUGAGAAUUCUAAGACGCGCGGGAUAACUCUCGUUAAGGAACUCGGCAAAAUGGUCCCGUAACUUCGGGAGAAGGGACGCUCUACAUGAGUAGAGCCGCAGUGAAUAGGCCCAAACGACUGUUUAGCAAAAACACAGGUCUCUGCUAAAUCGCAAGAUGACGUAUAGGGGCUGACGCCUGCCCGGUGCUGGAAGGUUAAGGGGAUGGGUUAGCGCAAGCGAAGCUUUGAACCGAAGCCCCAGUAAACGGCGGCCGUAACUAUAACGGUCCUAAGGUAGCGAAAUUCCUUGUCGGGUAAGUUCCGACCCGCACGAAAGGCGUAACGAUUUGGGCACUGUCUCAACGAGAGACCCGGUGAAAUCAUAGUACCUGUGAAGAUGCAGGUUACCCGCGACAGGACGGAAAGACCCCAUGGAGCUUUACUACAGCCUGAUAUUGAGGCUUUGUGCAUGAUGUACAGGAUAGGCGGGAGACGUCGAGCCCGGAGCGCCAGCUUCGGAGGAGUCACCCUUGGGAUACCGCCCUUCAUGCAUAGAGUCUCUAACUCGCAGCCGUGAUCCGGCUGGAGGACCGUGUCAGGCGGGUAGUUUGACUGGGGCGGUCGCCUCCUAAACAGUAACGGAGGCGCCCAAAGGUUCCCUCAGAAUGGUUGGAAAUCAUUCGUAGAGCGCAAAGGCAGAAGGGAGCUUGACUGCGAGACCUACAAGUCGAGCAGGGACGAAAGUCGGGCUUAGUGAUCCGGUGGUUCCGCAUGGAAGGGCCAUCGCUCAACGGAUAAAAGCUACCCUGGGGAUAACAGGCUGAUCUCCCCCAAGAGUCCACAUCGACGGGGAGGUUUGGCACCUCGAUGUCGGCUCAUCGCAUCCUGGGGCUGGAGUAGGUCCCAAGGGUUGGGCUGUUCGCCCAUUAAAGCGGUACGCGAGCUGGGUUCAGAACGUCGUGAGACAGUUCGGUCCCUAUCCGUCGUGGGCGCAGGAAAUUUGAGGAGAGCUGUCCUUAGUACGAGAGGACCGGGAUGGACGCACCGCUGGUGUACCAGUUGUUCCGCCAGGAGCAUCGCUGGGUAGCUACGUGCGGACGGGAUAAAUGCUGAAAGCAUCUAAGCAUGAAGCCCCCUCCAAGAUGAGAUUUCCCUUUGAGUAAUCAAGAAAGACCCCUCAGAGACGAUGAGGUAGAUAGGUCACGGGUGGAAGCAUGGCGACAUGUGGAGCUGAGUGAUACUAAUCGGUCGAGGCCUUGUUCUA